CGCGUAGGCGGCUUGUCAAGUCAGGGGUGAAAUCUUUCGGCUCAACCGGAAAAGUGCCCUUGAUACUGACAAGCUCGAGGGAGGUAGGGGUGUGUGGAACUUCUGGUGGAGCGGUGAAAUGCGUUGAUAUCAGAAGGAACGCCGGUGGCGAAAGCGACGCACUGGACCUCUUCUGACGCUGAGGCGUGAAAGCUAGGGGAGCAAACGGGAUUAGAUACCCCGGUAGUCCUAGCCCUAAACGAUGGGUACUAGGUUGUAGACUUGACAUGGGUUUACAGUCGAAGCAAAAGUGUUAAGUACCCCGCCUGGGGAGUAUGGUCGCAAGGCUGAA
rnacentral:rRNA from 1 species